rnacentral:rRNA from 1 species
UAUCUCUGUAGAGUCUGCAUAUCAAUAAGCGGAGGAAAAGAAACUAACUAGGAUUCCCUCAGUAACGGCGAGUGAAGCGGGAAGAGCUCAAAUUUGAAAUCUUCAAGGUUCUACCUUGACGAAUUGUAGUUUAAAGAAGUGUUCUCUGUUAGAUGAGUAGCAAAAGUUCCUUGGAAUGGGACAUCAUAGAGGGUGAGAAUCCCGUAUUUGGUUAUUCAUUCUAGCUAUGUGAUACACUUUCAAAGAGUCGGAUUGUUUGGGAAUGCAGUCCAAAAUGGGUGGUAAAUUUCAUCUAAAGCUAAAUAUUGGCGAGAGACCGAUAGCGAACAAGUACCGUGAGGGAAAGAUGAAAAGAACUUUGAAAAGAGAGUUAAACAGUACGUGAAAUUGUCAAAAGGGAAGCGUUUGACACCAGUGUUGUUUUUCCGAAAAUCAAUUAUAAAUGUUUUGUUUCUGAGGAGUGAUGACUUCAUCGGCUUCCUUCUCUCUUCACGAAACUUUUGUAAUGCACUUUUCGGUUAACAAGUCAACAUCAAUUUCUUUUGUUGUAAAAGAGUAUUCGGAAGGUGGCUUUCUUUUCGGAGAAAGUGUUUAUAGCCCUAUACUUCUACAAUCGGAGAGAUUGAGGUCUGCAGCGUAGAUCCUUCGGGGUUAGAUACGUUUGUGCUAAGUUAUAGCUUUUCAUAGACAACUUGUUGACUAUGUUUAGUCUUGUAGCUUACUCGCUUAUGCUAUUUUACCUACGCUUAGGAUGUUGAAGAUGUAGCACAUCAU